AGUGGGGAAUCUUCCACAAUGGGCGCAAGCCUGAUGGAGCAACGCCGCGUGAAUGAAGAAGGCCUUAGGGUCGUAAAGUUCUGUCCUUAGGGAAGAACCGUGGGUAUAGCAAAUGAUACCCACCUGACGGUACCUUUGGAGGAAGCACUGGCUAACUACGUGCCAGCAGCCGCGGUAAUACGUAGAGUGCAAGCGUUGUCCGGAAUUAUUGGGCGUAAAGGGUACGCAGGCGGAUAGUAAAGUCAAGCGUGAAAGGUGUCGGCUUAACCGACAGACUGCGUUUGAAACUGAUUAUCUUGAGUGUAACAGAGGAGAGUGGAAUUCCUAGUGUAGUGGUGAAAUACGUAGAUAUUAGGAAGAACACCAGUGGCGAAGGCGACUCUCUGGGUUAACACUGACGCUGAGGUACGAAAGCUGGGGGAGCAAACGGGAUUAGAUACCCCGGUAGUCCCAGCCGUAAACGAUGGAUACNNNNNNGUUGGANNNNNCGAAUCCUUCAGUGCCG
rnacentral:rRNA from 1 species